GACGUAGGGCGCGAGCGUUGUCCGGAUUUAUUGGGCGUAAAGAGCUCGUAGGCGGCUUGUCGCGUCGUCCGUGAAAACCCACAGCUCAACUGAUGGGCUUGCGGUCGAUACGGGCAGGCUAGAGUUCGGUAGGGGAGACUGGAAUUCCUGGUGUAGCGGUGAAAUGCGCAGAUAUCAGGAGGAACACCGGUGGCGAAGGCGGGGUCUCUGGGGCCGAAUACUGACGCUGGAGGAGCGAAA
rnacentral:rRNA from 1 species